GUCGAUAUGGCCGAGCGGUCUAAGGCGAUUGAUUAGAAAUCACUUCCUCUCUGAGGGCGUAGGUUCAAAUCCUACUGUCGACG